AUUAUAGCCCAUUACAAAUUUUGGAGGUGAUCAUCUGAAACCCUAGUAUUCGGAGGUGAAGGACAGGCGAUUAAGAUUAUAGAGCAGUGACCAGGAGAUUUUACUCGAGUCCAAAGAUUUUGAUUUGUUGAUCGUAUAUGUUUCGAAGGAACAGGUUCCUGUCUUUCCCCAUGGUGAUUGGAGCUGUCGUGAUAGGAGUAGUUUCGGGUAAGGCGAUUUUCGGGCCUCCCCUGGAUGAGUACUGGAAAAAGAAACUUCAGGAAGAUGCAGCUGAGAAGGAAGCCAAGAAAAGUUCAAGUUAAAAGCCUUGGGCAUGUUCCUUGGCAGAGAAGGUUAUAACAAUGUUUCUCCAUGUUUUUACGCCUUACUGUAUAUAUCACUUCCACCAUGAACACAUCCUAUGUUAUGAUGCAACGGCAGGUGCUAUAUCACCCAUGGAUCAGUGGCUGCAUAUACGGCACUAGAUGAUACAAUGUGAUAUAUGCUCGCUUUUAUCGCAUCUGUGCCAUCUAUAGCCCGUGUUCGCCCGCUGAAAAUGGGUAGUACCGCUUGCCGACUGUGCUUUCGAUCUCAAUGUCCAUGGUGAAGAUGAGCAUGUUAUGGUUCAAAAUCUUACUGGAAUAUGUAAUGUUAGAGAGUUGAAACCAUGUCUGGUUUCUGGUAAACCCAAGAUUUUGACAAAGUUGGAGACUUGAAAAGUGCUGAAAUUUCUUGAGAAAUAAUGCAUUCGUUUUGUUUUCUA